rnacentral:rRNA from 1 species
GGAAAACGACUGCUAAUACCGCAUACGACCUACGAUUGGCAUCAAUCGUAGAUGAAAGGUGGCCUCUACAUGUAAGCUAUCGUUGUAGGAGGGGAUUGCGUCUGAUUAGCUAGUUGGAGGGGUAACGGCCCACCAAGGCGAUGAUCAGUAGCCGGUCUGAGAGGAUGAACGGCCACAUUGGGACUGAGACACGGCCCAAACUCCUACGGGAGGCAGCAGUGGGGAAUCUUCCGCAAUGGACGAAAGUCUGACGGAGCAACGCCGCGUGAGUGAUGACGGUCUUCGGAUUGUAAAGCUCUGUUAAUCGGGACGAAUGGUUUGUGUGCAAAUAGUGCAUAGACAUGACGGUACCGGAAUAGAAAGCCACGACUAACUACGUGCCAGCAGCCGCGGUAAU